rnacentral:rRNA from 1 species
GGUGUGAAUUGCAGAAUCCCGUGAAUCAUCGAUUCUUUGAACCCAAGUUGUGCCCGAAGCCCUCGUGGCCAGGGCACGUCUGUCUGGGCAUCAUGC